UGUAAGUAAAAGUCGUAACAAGGUCUCCGUUGGUGAACCAGCGGAGGGAUCAUUACCGAGUUUACAACUCCCAAACCCAAUGUGAACGUUACCAAACUGUUGCCUCGGCGGGAUCUCUGCCCCGGGUGCGUCGCAGCCCCGGACCAAGGCGCCCGCCGGAGGACCAACCAAAACUCUUAUUGUAUACCCCCUCGCGGGUUUUUUUAUAAUCUGAGCCUUCUCGGCGCCUCUCGUAGGCGUUUCGAAAAUGAAUCAAAACUUUCAACAACGGAUCUCUUGGUUCUGGCAUCGAUGAAGAACGCAGCGAAAUGCGAUAAGUAAUGUGAAUUGCAGAAUUCAGUGAAUCAUCGAAUCUUUGAACGCACAUUGCGCCCGCCAGUAUUCUGGCGGGCAUGCCUGUCCGAGCGUCAUUUCAACCCUCGAACCCCUCCGGGGGGUCGGCGUUGGGGAUCGGCCCUCCCUUAGCGGGUGGCCGUCUCCGAAAUACAGUGGCGGUCUCGCCGCAGCCUCUCCUGCGCAGUAGUUUGCACACUCGCAUCGGGAGCGCGGCGCGUCCACAGCCGUUAAACACCCAACUUCUGAAAUGUGACCUCGGAUCAAGGAGGAAAAAAAGCGCC
rnacentral:rRNA from 1 species